rnacentral:rRNA from 1 species
CCUUUUUGGAGCCAGCCGCCUAAGGUGGGACAGAUGAUUGGGGUGAAGUCGUAACAAGGUAGCCGUAUCGGAAGGUGCGGCUGGAUCACCUCCUUU